GACGAACGCUGGCGGCGUGCUUAACACAUGCAAGUCGAACGGAAAGGCCCUGCUUGCGGGGUACUCGAGUGGCGAACGGGUGAGUAACACGUGGGUGAUCUGCCCUGCACUUCGGGAUAAGCUUGGGAAACUGGGUCUAAUACCGGAUAGGAGCCAUCUUUAGUGUGGUGGUUGGAAAGUUUUUUCGGUGUAGGAUGAGCUCGCGGCCUAUCAGCUUGUUGGUGGGGUAAUGGCCUACCAAGGCGGCGACGGGUAGCCGGCCUGAGAGGGUGUACGGCCACAUUGGGACUGAGAUACGGCCCAGACUCCUACGGGAGGCAGCAGUGGGGAAUAUUGCACAAUGGGCGCAAGCCUGAUGCAGCGACGCCGCGUGGGGGAUGAAGGCCUUCGGGUUGUAAACUCCUUUCGCUAGGGACGAAGCUUUUUUGUGACGGUACCUAGAUAAGAAGCACCGGCUAACUACGUG
rnacentral:rRNA from 1 species